rnacentral:rRNA from 1 species
CCUACGGGCGGCUGCAGUGGGGAAUAUUGCACAAUGGGCGCAAGCCUGAUGCAGCCAUGCCGCGUGUGUGAAGAAGGCCUUCGGGUUGUAAAGCACUUUCAGCGGGGAGGAAGGCGGUGAGGUUAAUAACCUCAUCGAUUGACGUUACCCGCAGAAGAAGCACCGGCUAACUCCGUGCCAGCAGCCGCGGUAAUACGGAGGUUGCAAGCGUUAAUCGGAAUUACUGGGCGUAAAGCGCACGCAGGCGGUCUGUCAAGUCGGAUGUGAAAUCCCCGGGCUCAACCUGGGAACUGCAUUCGAAACUGGCAGGCUAGAGUCGUGUAGAGGGGGGUAGAAUUCCAGGUGUAGCGGUGAAAUGCGUAGAGAUCUGGAGGAAUACCGGUGGCGAAGGCGGCCCCCUGGACAAAGACUGACGCUCAGGUGCGAAAGCGUGGGGAGCAAACAGGAUUAGAUACCCCAGUAGUC